rnacentral:rRNA from 1 species
AUGCUCCGCGAAGGGGGAGCUGCUGUGACCCCACCGGCGAAUCUGGAUCUCUCGGGCUACCCCGAUUUGAGCAUUGGAGAGCUUGUUUCUGGCUACAUCAGCCAGGUUCACAAGAGCCGGGACGCGGAGAUCGCCAUGGUCAAUCAGAUCCAACAAAAGUCUGAGGCUACUGGCAAGAAAUUUGAGUCGAACCUUGCGGGUCUCAAGAGCCGGUUAAAAACUCAAGAGAUGGAGACCCGGAAGGCGAAUGCCAAGUUUGUCUCCAGCAUCGCCGCUCAGGAGAAAUUGAAGACUGAAUUCGACGCUGAGCGGAAGGCCUGGGCUGAGGAGAAAGCCGCACUGGUGACCCGGGCAGAACUGGCGUAG